GCCAGUGUGGCAUAGUGGUUUGAGUGCUGGACUAUGACUCUGGAGACCAGGAUUCAACACCCUGCUUGACC